rnacentral:rRNA from 1 species
AUGGCGAAAUUCUGGUGGGGGAGCUCCCUAGAUAAACGAUCCUUGCACUGGAUUGCCUGGGACGAGCUGGCCACGCCCAAGUGCAAGGGCGGAAUGGGUUUCCGCGAUCUCCGUAUGUUCAACUUGGCCUUACUAGGGAAGCAUGGAUGGCGUUUUAUGAUGAAUCCGAACUCCCUUUGUGCCAAGGUGAUGAAAGGAAGAUAUUUCCCAGACACAGAUUUCCUACAUGCUUCGGUUCCCAAGUCCUCAUCCGCUACCUGGCGGGCAAUUGUGGCGGGCCGUGAA